rnacentral:rRNA from 1 species
ACCGGCAGCUCAAGUGGUGGCCAUUUUUAUUGGGCCUAAAGCGUUCGUAGCCGGUUUGAUAAGUCUCUGGUGAAAUCCCGCAGCUUAACUGUGGGACUUGCUGGAGAUACUAUUAGACUUGAGGUCGGGAGAGGUUAGGGGUACUCCCAGGGUACGGGUGAAAUCCUAUAAUCCUGGGAGGACCAACUGAGGCGAAGGCGUCGAACUGGAUCGAACCUGCCGGUGAUUAAAGAAAGCCAGGGGUGCGAACAG